AGAGCGAACGCUGGCGGCAGGCCUAACACAUGCAAGUCGAGCGCCCCGCAAGGGGAGCGGCAGACGGGAGAGUAACACGUGGGAACGUACCCUUCAGUUCGGAACAACCCAGGGAAACUUGGGCUAAUACCGAAUACGUCCGUAAGGAGAAAGAUUUAUCGCUGAAGGAUCGGCCCGCGUCUGAUUAGCUUGUUGGUGAGGUAACGGCUCACCAAGGCGACGAUCAGUAGCUGGUCUGAGAGGAUGAUCAGCCUCACUGGGACUGAGACACGGCCCAGACUCCUACGGGAGGCAGCAGUGGGGAAUAUUGGACAAUGGGCGCAAGCCUGAUCCAGCCAUGCCGCGUGGGUGAUGAAGGCCCUAGGGUUGUAAAGCCCUUUCGGCGGGGAAGAUAAUGACGGUACCCGCAGAAGAGGCCCCGGCUAACUUCGCGCCAGCAGCCGC
rnacentral:rRNA from 1 species